rnacentral:rRNA from 1 species
UACGGAGGAUCCGAGCGUUAUCCGGAUUUAUUGGGCUUAAAGGGAGCGUAGGCGGGAAGUCGAGUCAGCUGUGAAAUGUAGGCGCUCAACGCCUGCACUGCAGUUGAAACCGGUUUUCUUGAGUGCGUAAGAGGAAGGCGGAAUUCGUCGUGUAGCGGUGAAAUGCUUAGAUAUGACGAAGAACUCCGAUCGCGAAGGCAGCUUGCCGGGCCGCGACUGACGCUGAAGCUCGAAGGUGCGGGUAUCGAAC